AGGUGUGGAGAGAGGCGGCAGCCACGCCGUGAAGGACCUUUCACCCAGCUAAGAAAAUGAAGUUUUAUUCUGCAAAUAAUGGGGAUCCACCGAAGGAGUUUUCCUCCCUAUGUACUGGGCUCUGCUGUGUGUUGAGGUGCUCUUUAGAAAUCUAUCUUCAAUGAAAACUUGAUAUUCUUACUGUCGGGUUCAGAUAGAUACUUGGCUUCCAUAUCCGCUCCUUUGUCUGAUUCCCGAUCGCAUUGCAACCCGAAACACUAAAACAUCCAAAGAGUCUAGAUCCACAUUUCUAACUCUCCAAGUGACCUUUUACAACACUCUUAUUAAGUAGUUUAAUUACUAGUGUAAAAUUUUAGAAACUCGACACACUAUCAAACGUAGGUAGAAUUGUACAGCACUAGAGCCGAGAGAGCUAUCUCUGGGACCACUUAGUCUUGCUCCUGACAUGAGUCAGCUCACGCUGCCAUAGCUCAAUACCUUAGACUGGCUGGCGUAAGCAACCAGUUGGUUUUCUUACGCUUCUGGAGGCUGCAAAUCUGAGGGCAGGGUGUCAGCUGGGUGGCUCCUGGUGGGGGCCCUCUCCCUGGCUUGCAGAUGGUUGCCUUUGGCUGUGUCCUCACGUAGUGGAGAGGGUGAGCCCGUGCUAAUCUGUUCCUCGUGUAAGGAAAUGAAUCCCAUCAUGGGGGUCCCACCUUCACGGCCUCAUCUAAAUCCAGUUACCUCUCGUGGGCCCCAUCCCCGAAUGCCCACCCACAUUGCAGCUUCCGCCUUCCACAAGUACAUUUGGAGGCGGAGGCACAGCAUUUAACCCGUAACACUGCUCCUAAUCAUCACCCAGGGACUGUGAGAAACAACAGUUGGUGUCAGGGCCCCGCCUGGUUUAGCUGGUCCGGGGUAGAACCCUGGCCUUGAGGUUUUUUUGUUUUUAAAGCUUCCUGAGUGACGCUGAUGUCCAGCCAGGAUUGAGCGCUCCUGAGUUCAUCCAAAGGCAGGGCCUGUUUCCACAGUAUCUUUGGCAACUAGUUGUAUUGUUUCCUCUUGAAUAUCACAUCGUUCCUUUAGUCUUGAAGGAGAGUUUUAUUUCAGUCAAGUUCGUAUCAGCGUCCGUCCAUUUAUUCUACAUCUGCCCUUUGGAAUAAUACCAAUUUAUAUAAAUGAUAUAAAUUUAGUAUUUCUUUGCAUUGACAGCCUUUCAUACUUAUAAUCACUGUAUCACGGUUCCUUUAAACCUUGUUUUCAUCAGGCCAAAUGUUCCUAAUUUCUACAACUUUUUCUCUUACCACUUGCUUUUAAAUUCGGUGCUCUGAACACAGAAUUCUGGAUAUGUACUGUUUGGGAUAUAAUAAAGUAGUUAUUUUCUUCUUUGACAUUGACUUUCUGUUCUUCCAAGUUCUUCCUAAAUUUGCACUUUUUUCUCUAGCCAUUGCACAGCAUAAUGCCAUAUAAAUUAUUUUGUAUUUUGUAUAACUGUUUUCUCACCAUUUGGGUUGGGGUUGGCUUUAUCAGGUAUUGACCAAUGAAAACAAUUCUAUUAAAUGUGAAUCUGGACUCUCUUUGUCAGGAUGAUGAAAUAUAAUAAGCCUCUUUGCCCAACUCCCAUGGAAUAGAAAGAGGUUUUGGGACUGUCAGAAGUUUAAACCAGUGUAAGUCAUUCCUAAAAGAAACACCAUUCACUCAAGAUA